AUAUUGGACAAUGGGCGAAAGCCUGAUCCAGCCAUGCCGCGUGUGUGAAGAAGGUCUUCGGAUUGUAAAGCACUUUAGGUUGGGAGGAAGGGCAGUAAGUCAAUACUUUGCUGUUUUGACGUUACCGACGGAAUAAGCACCGCUUAACUUCGUCCCGGCAGCCGCGGUAAUACGAAGGGUGCAAGCGUUAAUCGGAAUUACUGGGCGUAAAGCGCGCGUAGGUGGUUUGUUAAGUUGGAAGUGAAAGCCCCGGGCUUAACCUGGGAAUUGCUUUCAAAACUGACGAGCUAGAGUACGGUAGAGGGUAGUGGAAUUUCCUGUGUAGCGGUGAAAUGCGUAGAUAUAGGAAGGAACAUCAGUGGCGAAGGCGACUACCUGGACUGAUACUGACACUGAGGUGCGAAAGCGUGGGGAGCAAACAGG
rnacentral:rRNA from 1 species